GACGAACGCUGGCGGCGUGCCUAAUACAUGCAAGUCGAACGCAGUGGGGACGGGUGAGUAACACGUGGGUAACCUCCCAUCAGAUGUGAUAACACUUGGAAACAGGUGCUAAACCGUUACUGAUGGUUGGACCCGCGGUGCAUUAGCUAGUUGGUGAGGUAACGGCUCACCAAGGCCACGAUGCAUAGCCGAGCGGAGAGGGUGAUCGGCCACACUGGGAAUGAAACACGGCCCAGACUCCUACGGGAGGCAGCAGUAGGGAAUCGUCGGCAAUGGAAGAAAGUCUGACCGGACAACGCCGCGUGAGGGAAGAAGGUUUUCGGAUCGUAAAACUCUGUUGUUAGAGAAGCGGUAUCUAACCAGAAAGCCACGGCUAACUACGUGCCAGCAGCCGCGGUAAUUC
rnacentral:rRNA from 1 species